GCUUCCCGGUCCAGCUGUAGCCUGGGCGCGCGCUCCCGACCGCCCUGUUAGACGUGGCAGUUCACUGAGCAGUUCCCGGGCGGAGAGAUUGAGCGAGGAAGCCGGCUCUGUUUGCCUCUCGCUCUUUGGCAACAAGCAGCGGGCUUGGGACGCGGAGAGAAGCGCAGAGAGGAGGAAAGAAGAGGCACAAGAGCACUCGGAUUUUCUUUAAAAAUACAACACUGCUGAAAUGAAUCAGCAAGGAUAUGUUGCAAUGCCUCCAUAUUCUCAAUCCCAGCCAGGAAUGGGAGGAUUUUCACCUGGAUUUGGUCAAACUGCUUCUUCUCCCCUAUAUGGACACUACGGCGAAUCAAACCCAUCAUCAUCUGUACCUCAAUCAGCUAUGCUGAAAACAAAUGUGCCUUUUGGGUCUGCUGCUCCCAUUGGACCACCUCCUCAAAGCACUCACCAGUUUAACCAGAUGAAUCUUCAAAAUGGUCCCAGCAGCACAGCACAACAGUUGC